rnacentral:rRNA from 1 species
GCGUGCGGGAAGAAGGCCUUCGGGUUGUAAACCGCUUUUGUCAGGGAAGAAAAGGGUGUUUCUAAUAAAGACGCCUCAUGACGGUACCUGAAGAAUAAGCACCGGCUAACUACGUGCCAGCAGCCGCGGUAAUACGUAGGGUGCAAGCGUUAAUCGGAAUUACUGGGCGUAAAGCGUGCGCAGGCGGUUAUGCAAGACAGAGGUGAAAUCCCCGGGCUCAACCUGGGAACUGCCUUUGUGACUGCAUAGCUAGAGUACGGUAGAGGGGGAUGGAAUUCCGCGUGUAGCAGUGAAAUGCGU